rnacentral:lncRNA from 1 species
CUGACUUAGAUACGGUCACUGGCCUGGCUGGUGAAAGCAAGCUCAGCGAUGCCUUCAUGUCUGUCCUACAGCCUUGCAGAAUUCCAGCCUGAGUGCUUUGACAUGAUCCCUGCCAACAAUCCAGCUUGGAGAGUGAGUGCUUGUCCCCAGGACUCCUGGCCCACCUGUACGGGAGGGUCAGCUCUGCCACGGAGCCGGCAAAAAGUUCUGUGAUAAAUAAGGUCUGUUGACCAUGUUUCAGCCAGGAUUUGGUGACCAGCUGGUGGCCAGUUGGAUGCAUGCUGCUGGUUUUUCAGUUCAUGCCUGGUUCAAGGCUUGCUGACAGUGCAUCUGCUUUGGACGAGGUUCUUCCCAGAGAUGUGGAAGAUGGUCAACAAGCUCUCUAUCACGCAAUUUCGAUUUACUGCGAGUCCACCUAGUGGCCCAUGGGCUUAUGGUCAGCUUUGCUGGAUAGUGUGAGGCUUGUGAGAACAUCUCAGAAACCCUAAUGCACCCAGGACAAGCUCUGGGAAUCAUUUUACCUGUGCAUGUACCUGACAGGUACAGUUCAGAUCUCAACUUGCCAUUGUCCUUCUCCAGGAGAGCUCCCAGCCCAGCAGCUGAGGUUGUGGCUGGUUUGUUCAGGUCCAAAACUCAGCCAGACCUGGGUUGGGCAAAGAGUCCUUGUGACCACACAAGCGAGGGAAGCCCCAUGGCAUUUUCACCCCUUAUUUCUCCUGCAGAGGUCUGCCUCAUGCUUCUCAGACAGGAUAACCCCAGAUGCUCCUCUGAGAGAUGCCAUGCCCCAGAGAAGUGUUGGCUCUGAGUGCUCAGGCAGGCCAGCAACCAGGCUGGGAAGCCCUUUGCAGCUAAUUGCUGGCAGGGUGGCCAUGAUCAUGGGAAGCCACAACCUGCCAGCCAGAGCCCUUGCUGGGCUCUUCUGUGGUGCGACACACUGCACCAAGGGACCAGGUCUGCUCCAGACCAGGGGGACAAACCAGCCCCAGCUGGGGGACCCCUAGUCCUGGCAAGAUACUUCUGGGAGCCCUCAGCUCUUUCAGCUCUCUCGUAAUGCAGCCACAGACCCUCCAGGAUCUCUCCAUACACCUGCUGGGACUCCAGCCUCUACCAUCCCCCUUCCUGGCUUCCCAGCAGCACCUCCAAAACCUCCAGCUUCAGGUGGGGGUUCCCCUCCUUUGCCAUCUCUCCCCUGAGGUGACCCUUCCUCAGAGCAGCCAUCCUGGUACCCAUCUCCCCAGCGUUGGCCAACCCUCCUAGCUGAGCUGGUGGACAGGACCACACGCUGCCGU